rnacentral:rRNA from 1 species
UACGUAGGGGGCAAGCGUUAUCCGGAUUUACCGGGUGUAAAGGGAGCGUAGACGGUUAUGCAAGUCAGAUGUGAAAUCCCGCGGCUCAACCGCGGAACUGCAUUUGAAACUGUCAGUCUUGAGUACCGGAGAGGUCAUCGGAAUUCCUUGUGUAGCGGUGAAAUGCGUAGGUAUAAGGAAGAACACCAGUGGCGAAGGCGGAUGACUGGACGGCAACUGACGGUGAGGCGCGAAAGCGUGGGGAGCAAACAGG